rnacentral:tRNA from 1 species
UCCUCGGUGGUGGAAGUGGUUAAGCACUUGACUUCUAACCAAAAGGCUGGUGGUUCAAACCCACUCAAAGGAG